UCACUGCAACCUCUGCCUCCCGAGUUCAAGUAAUUCUCCUGCUUCAGUCUCCCGAGCAGCUGGGAUUAUAGGUGUCCGCCACGGCGCCCCGCCUCAUCAAUAUUAGUGGACUGCAACUUCCUUCCCUAACUCCCGGCUCAUCCUAACGUAAGUGGCGCUGCCAGGUGGCCCUCAGUACCUCAGCGUGUCUGGGUGCGAGGCAUCACAGCUGAACAAGAAGUCGGCGGCUCGCGGGUCACUGAUCGUCCCCCCUUCAGCCACUGUGGAGGUCCAACGCCAAGCUCAAUGAUUGGUUCCCAAGAGAAACGGCCGGGAAAGGCCUGAGGCCCUCAGGUGAGGGACGGUCUCUGACUGCUUAUCCGGAUCACUUAGGGGCCUCUCAGCCUUGCCCUGGUAAGAGGAGGAGAGCGACUCGAGUUGUGUUCUGCCCUCCUCGGCCUCCCAAAGUGAUGGAAUUACAGGCGUGAGCCACCAUGCCCAGCCUAUCAGACCUUUCAAAAACAACAUACAAAGGAAAACAAUCAUAAGCAUGAUGAAGUAACACCAAAUGAAAUAAAGACCCUUGGGGAAAACAGCGAACUUGCAACAGAGCACAUAAAAGAAUUAUCCGAAAGGAGAAAGCAGGAAUGCACUUCCUCACUAUCACAAAUUAUGCAGUCGAGUUUCCCGCAUUUGGGGAAAUCACAGGGGUAAGCACACCUAUGGAGUACAACAGAUGAGCCUCGCCCUGGGAAAACCGCAUUCCUGAUCAUGGCAUCUCCCCUGCCAGCUUCACCCGUUGGAAGGACAUGCUUAGAAGACAGUGAGGAAACCCCACAAAGCAAAGAGGGUUAAACUGGAUUUUAAAUUCAGUGGGUAAGUGAAGGCAAGUACCUCAUCUCUCCAAGCAAGACCUUCUUAGCUGCUAAGUGCAGGAGCUCCUGGAGGAACCAGUCAUGCACAGCUAAGAGCUAUGGGAAGUAUCUAAAAGCAAAGGACCUGACUGAUUCUAUAAGCAAUCCCUGCAAAAAUCCAUUCCACUGCCUUGUACAUCUUGUAAUGCUCUCCCACCCUGCACCUACACGUGCACGCAUGCGCGCACGUGCAAACACACACACACACACACACACACACACACACUUCCCUUUUUGUCAUUAUUGGAGCUCCAGAACUUGAUCUGUCUUCAUCAUCAAAUUUUUGGGAGGCUUCUAUGCUGUAUAGAACACUUUACCACAUCCUGGUGAAGAAAUGAGGCCUUGUCAUCAGUGGGAUUCCAGUGCAUUUGGGGAAGGGGUGAUUAUUGGUGAAAGUACAGGCUGUGCCCUAUCUGUUGGGCAGGUCAGGCGGAGACAACUUCAAGGGCUGGGGCAAAGUCUACUGGAUUAGGUAAGAGGAUUAGCAGUGUGUCUGUGAAAUCACCAUUGAAAAAUCAUAACUGAGACACUGAGAGAUCUAACCUAAAAUCUUGCUUCUAACCUCCAAGCUGUCCUUGUUCAUUCCUGGGCAUGGUCUGAACUAACUUCGGGGAGAUCUUAGUUUUUAAUUUAUAGUUUAAAACAAAGAUAGCAGUCCUUCUCCAAAACAAACCUCCUUCUUGCCUGGG